UUCAACGGAGAGUUUGAUCCUGGCUCAGGACGAACGCUGGCGGCGUGCUUAACACAUGCAAGUCGAGCGGUAAGGCCUUUCGGGGUACACGAGCGGCGAACGGGUGAGUAACACGUGGGUGAUCUGCCCUGCACUUCGGGAUAAGCCUGGGAAACUGGGUCUAAUACCGGAUAUGACCUCCUAUCGCAUGGUGGGUGGUGGAAAGAUUUAUCGGUGCAGGAUGGGCCCGCGGCCUAUCAGCUUGUUGGUGGGGUAAUGGCCUACCAAGGCGACGACGGGUAGCCGACCUGAGAGGGUGACCGGCCACACUGGGACUGAGACACGGCCCAGACUCCUACGGGAGGCA
rnacentral:rRNA from 1 species